rnacentral:pre_miRNA from 1 species
AAAAAAGCAAAUCCUGAGUUUCCGUGUCCAACUUUAACUGUCUGUCUUAUAUAAAUUUUUUUUAUAAUUCGUAUUUUUAUUAUUGUUAAAUGAUAAAAUAUGAUUAAUAUUUUAUACGUGACUUGUCUUUUUAAUUUUUUUCAUAAUUUUUUCAAAUAAGACGGACGAUCAAACGUUGGGCACGGAAAUCAGGGUUUGUCUUUUU